UACGUAGGGAGCAAGCGUUGUCCGGAAUCAUUGGGCGUAAAGGGCGCGUAGGUGGCUGGGCAAGCGUGCGGUGAAAGCUCGGGGCUCAACCCCGAGUCGGCCGUGCGAACUGCCGAGCUUGAGCACUGUAGAGGCAAGCGGAAUUCCUGGUGUAGCGGUGAAAUGCGUAGAUAUCAGGAGGAACACCCGUGGUGUAGACGGCUUGCUGGACAGUCACUGACGCUGAGGCACGAAAGCGUGGGGAGCAAACAGG
rnacentral:rRNA from 1 species